ensembl:snRNA U6 U6 spliceosomal RNA
GUUUUGAUUUGGCAGUGCAUAUACAAAAACUGAAAUGAUACAGAGAUUAUAAGAAUGGCCUCUGCUCAAGGAUGAUACACAAAUUCAUGAAGCAUGAGACAGUCUG